AUUGAACGCUGGCGGCAGGCCUAACACAUGCAAGUCGAACGAGUGGCGGACGGGUGAGUAAUGUCUGGGAAACUGCCUGAUGGAGGGGGAUAACUACUGGAAACGGUAGCUAAUACCGCAUACCAUCGGAUGUGCCCAGAUGGGAUUAGCUAGUCGGUGGGGUAAAGGCUCACCUAGGCGACGAUCCCUAGCUGGUCUGAGAGGAUGACCAGCCACACUGUAACUGAGACACGGGCCAGACUCCUACGGGAGGCAGCAGUGGGGAAUAUUGUACAAUGGGCGCAAGCCUGAUGCAGCCAUGCCGCGUGUAUGAAGAAGGUCUUCGGAUGGUAAAGCACUUUAAGUUGGGAGGCGUUACCAACAGAGUAAGCACCGGCUAACUUCGUGCCAGCAGCCGCGGUAAUUC
rnacentral:rRNA from 1 species